rnacentral:rRNA from 1 species
GAUGAACGCUGGCGGCGUGCCUAAUACAUGCAAGUCGAGCGAACAGACGAGGAGCUUGCUCCUCUGACGUUAGCGGCGGACGGGUGAGUAACACGUGGAUAACCUACCUAUAAGACUGGGAUAACUUCGGGAAACCGGAGCUAAGACCGGAUAAUAUAUUGAACCGCAUGGUUCAAUAGUGAAAGACGGUUUUGCUGUCACUUAUAGAUGGAUCCGCGCCGCAUUAGCUAGUUGGUAAGGUAACGGCUUACCAAGGCAACGAUGCGUAGCCGACCUGAGAGGGUGAUCGUCCACACUGGAACUGAGACUCGGUCCAGACUCCUACGGGAGGCAGCAGUAGGGAAUCUUCCGCAAUGGGCGAAAGCCUGACGGAGCAACGCCGCGUGAGUGAUGAAGGUCUUCGGAUCCUAAAACUCUGUUAUUAGGGAAGAACAAAUGUGUAAGUAACUAUGCACGUCUUGACGGUACCUAAUCAGAAAGCCACGGCUAACUACGUG